rnacentral:lncRNA from 1 species
AUUGUAGUCUGCAAAGGCAUCCAUGAAGCUUAAGAAUCGGUGCUCCGAAGUUGCAUCAACUAAUUGAUCAAUCUUUGGCAAAGAAAAACUGUCCUUCGGACAAGCUUCAUUUAUAUUUGUGUAGUCGAUGUAGAUUCUCUAUUUUUUAUUGGCCUUUCUCACCAUCACUACAUUGGCGAGCCAAUCGAGAUAGGUAGCUUCUCUAAUGAAGCCAGCUGUG